AUUGAACGCUGGCGGAAUGCUUUACACAUGCAAGUCGAACGGUAGAGGGGGCAACCCCUCGAGAGUGGCGAACGGGUGAGUAAUAUGUCGGAACGUGCCCAGUCGUGGGGGAUAACGUAGCGAAAGUUACGCUAAUACCGCAUACGAUCUAAGGAUGAAAGCGGGGGAUCGCAAGACCUCGCGCGAUUGGAGCGGCCGAUAUCAGAUUAGGUAGUUGGUGGGGUAAAGGCUCACCAAGCCAACGAUCUGUAGCUGGUCUGCGAGGACGACCAGCCACACUGGAACUGAGACACGGUCCAGACUCCUACGGGAGGCAGCGGUGGGGAAUUUUGGACAAUGGACGCAAGUCUGAUCCAGCCAUUCCGCGUGCAGGAUGAAGGCCCUCGGGUUGUAAACUGCUUUUGUACGGAACGAAAAGGUCUCUCUUAAUACGGGGGGCUCAUGACGGUACCGUAAGAAUAAGCACCGGCUAACUACGUGCCAGCCGCCGCCGUAA
rnacentral:rRNA from 1 species